rnacentral:rRNA from 1 species
UGCGUAGGCGGGUUUCUAAGUCAGAGGUGAAAGCCUGGAGCUCAACUCCAGAACUGCCUUUGAUACUGGAAGUCUUGAGUUCGGGAGAGGUGAGUGGAACUGCGAGUGUAGAGGUGAAAUUCGUAGAUAUUCGCAAGAACACCAGUGGCGAAGGCGGCUCACUGGGCCAUUACUGACGCUGAGGCACGAAAGCGUGGGGAGCAAACA